rnacentral:tRNA from 1 species
AGGGAUGUAGCUCAGCAUUAUAGCACCUGCCUGGCAAGCAUGAGCUUCUAGGUUUGAUUCCUGGCAUCUGUG